GGGAGUGAGGGCAUGGGUGCUAAGGUCCGUGCCCGAGAGGAGAACAAUCCGGACCAUCGGCUAAGGCCCCGAAAUGACAGCUAAGUUAAACUAACGAAGUCAGAUUGCUAAGACAGCUAGGAUGUUGGCUUGGAAGCAGCCAUUCAUUUAAAGAGUGCGUAACAGCUCACUAGUCGAGGAAUUUGGCGUGGAUAAUAAUCGGGUAU
rnacentral:rRNA from 1 species